GAGAGGGUGCUGUGUGGGUCAGGGUUAUUCACAGCCCCACUUCACUCUGAGCACAUUUGCAGAGGGUCCUUCUGGAAGACACUGAGGCAGCAUUUGCCUGAUAG